GCCGUAUUUCAUAUCCUCUCGUCUACAAAUAUCUGAGCAAUGUGACCAACCAGACUCCUCUCCUGGGUGGCAGCAAAUGCCACCUGAGUUUGGAAAGCUGUCAGAGGUCAUGGGUACGGAAACCCUGUUUUUGGCCAGAAUGAUUCACAAAUUCUGAAAGCCAGGCCCCUGAAGGGUUUUGUUUUGUUUUGCGUCUUGCCUCUUAUUAUCAACUUUGGUUCCACUUGCUUUUUAUUUUGUUUCCACAGCAUUAAACUCUCAUGACUCCUGCUGAUAACACCCUCUCCUUCCUCCAAGGCUUACCAAAGCAGAACGUCAAGUGCCAGUGGCUCGUUUUUUCUCGGUGCUAGCACUUGGCAGUCUCUGGAGCCCGCCAGCUCCGCAGCUGGGGCCAAGAUGACAAAGUCAUGCUGAAUACUGCAGCGCCUUCAGCUGUAUUAACAGGCUGGGAUUUGGAACUCGGCGGGAAUUCUUCUUGGGGCAGCUCACAGCGUAUCAGCCCUGACUUGUGCGCUCGAUGAGACGGAAGGUCCGGAGAGCUAAGUUACAAGACCCUCCCCACUUCCUCCUUCCCUCACUCGCGCUGUUUAUGGCUAAUUGCACGUUGCUUUGGACUGGGCACUCUGCUGGGCACAGGGAUUAGGACCCGAACUGGGGAGACACAGACACGAAAAUGGAAAGAUUUACACGGAGGACAGGAUUAUAUUACCCUCUGAGCAAAAUUCAGAAACCGUGAGCCUAGAUGGUCCUCGUCUUCACUGCGAUUAUUCCCACGGCUGAAUAUGCCGAAUUCCUGGACCCGGAGGGGGAAAAUGCCGGCAAAAGCUCCCCAUGUUCCUUUCCUGCCGAGCAUCUAUAACAGAAAUUCGUUUUCCAUUGCUCCCUGACCUCCGUUCCAAAAAAAGGCAGAGGAAGGAGCUGCCAGGGGAGAGGAAAAAGCAUGUUUUCUUGUGGGAAGCAGAAGCGAGACAGAAAAUCUUUUGACAUCCGGAAAUCAGAAAGUGGCUCUGAUUUGCCAGGAGGCUGCCAACAAAGAGCUUUAACAGUGUUACCAGUGUCCUGACCAGGGGGACGGGACCUGGGCCGGGGUUCGGAGACAUGGACCCCUCUCUGGCACAUCGUUCUUCCCUCCCUGGCCAAGGGAUUUUAAGGAGAAACGUUAAGACGGUACGCUCUCCCAGGGUCCUUACCACCGUCUGGAAGCAGGAGUGUAGCUGUGUCAGGAACGGGGGCUUGUCAAGCAAGGCCAGGACUCGCUUCUCCACCAUGGUGCACUCCACGUCGUCAUCCUGAAUCACCACGUCCUUCUUCAGGAUUUUGAUGGCAUACAGUUCUUCUGUCCCCUUCCUGUCAGCGAGCAUCACCUGGGAGCAGACGGAAGGCAACCUGAAAACUCUGACCCUAUGUCUGGUACUGGGGACAGGGGAGGAACCUGGUCAGGUGACCACUCAGACUGUUCUAGUUUGUGCAAGUUUAUAAAUGUGUGAUAUAAACAUAUUCAUAAAGUUC